rnacentral:lncRNA from 1 species
ACCACCACAGGUCCUUAGUGACUGAACCAGUACUAGCAAUGGUCUCCUAACUUGCAGGGUUGAAUUCUCCCUUCCAUUCGACCACAGCUAUCUCAGAGAUCUUGAGGCAGGAGAAUAAGUGCUUUUUUAAUGCCAUAUGUAGGCAAAUUACAAAUAAACAAAACCAAGAAGAAAAAUGUAAGCUGUGGGCUGAUGACAUUGCUUAGCAAAAAAUGAGUCUCACACACAGGCGGCUGCACUCCAGAUUUCAAUUUAAUUCACUUUCCACAAGCAACAAGAGCAAGAAUAAUAUGCUUCAAUGUAGGGAGAUCAGAGAAGAGAAGCUUCACUGCAUUUUGAGACCGAGAAUGACUGAAUGAGGUGGCAGUGGUGGCAGCCGCUGCUCAUCACAAGAUGGAGAAAGGCUGGAAAAUGAAAUGGAAGUUGAAAGUGGUUGUUGUGAGUCAGGCUCCGACUAUGGUGACCUGUCUUGCUGUGAGAAUACACAUGGAAACCAGCCUUCCACAGAGCCAAACAUAGACAUGUCUGUAAUCUCUGGACACUAAGAAAUAAGCUUCUUACAGACAGAAUCUGGAAAGAUGUCUGCCAAGAGUGGGGAUGCAGGGACUAGAAAACAAAAGCAAAGCCCAUCUUUCACUGGAGCAUGUCUGCACAAACAUUCUGCUGACUGACGAUAGACAUACAAGUUGUGAAUACACUUAAAAUGUAUGAGUGUGAAAAGUGUCUACAUACAAUUAUUAUCUAUUAUUUACUUGUUAUUUAUUUAUUAUUUACUGAAAUCCUACUUUGUCAGGCAUCAGGCUAAGUGCCUUAUUACAUUAUGUGAUUCAUUCUCCAUAAUAACCAUUUGAUGUAGAAGCUAUCAUUUUCACAAUUUUUCAUAUGGGGAAACCAAGGCCUAGAAAAGAAAAGUUCUUCCUUGGCAAGUAACCAUUUUUAAAGAGAAAAGAAUUUUAUCCCAGAAGAAAACAUUUUAUCUCUGUUCAUGUGAAUGAAAUAUACACAUAUAUUUAUAUUUACAUCAAAGGUGAGUAAAACUUUAUGAAAAAUAAAGUUAGGCUUUACAAGC